GCCUUCGUGAUGUAGUGGUCAGCAUGCUCGACGCGUAACCGAGAGGUCCGUGGUUCGAUUCCCGGCGAAAGCG
rnacentral:tRNA from 1 species